UACGUAGGUGGCAAGCGUUGUCCGGAUUUACUGGGCGUAAAGGGAGCGUAGGCGGAUACUUAAGUGGGAUGUGAAAUACCUGGGCUUAACUUGGGUGCUGCAUUCCAAACUGGGUGUCUAGAGUGUUGGAGAGGAAAGUGGAAUUCCUAGUGUAGCGGUGAAAUGCGUAGAGAUUAGGAAGAACACCAGUGGCGAAGGCGACUUUCUGGACAAUAACUGACGCUGAGGCUCGAAAGCGUGGGGAGCAAACAGGAUUAGAUACCCUGGUAGUCCACGCCGUAAACGAUGGGGACUAGGUGUAGGAGGUAUCGAAUCCUCCUGUGCCGCCGUUAACACAAUAAGUACCCCGCCUGGGGAGUACGGUCGCAAGAUUAAA
rnacentral:rRNA from 1 species